GUUAUGGCUCAGUGGUAGAGUACUCGCCUAGCACCUGCGAGGCCCUAGGUUCAAUCCUUAGCAUCACA
rnacentral:tRNA from 1 species